rnacentral:rRNA from 1 species
CACGGAGGGAGCUAGCGUUGUUCGGAAUUACUGGGCGUAAAGCGCACGUAGGCGGCUUUGCAAGUCAGAGGUGAAAGCCUGGAGCUCAACUCCAGAAUUGCCUUUGAGACUGCAUCGCUUGAACACGGGAGAGGUGAGUGGAAUUCCGAGUGUAGAGGUGAAAUUCGUAGAUAUUCGGAAGAACACCAGUGGCGAAGGCGGCUCACUGGACCGUUGUUGACGCUGAGGUGCGAAAGCGUGGGGAGCAAACAGG